GAUGAACGCUGGCGGCGUGCCUAAUACAUGCAAGUCGAGCGAACAGACGAGGAGCUUGCUCCUCUGAUGUUAGCGGCGGACGGGUGAGUAACACGUGGAUAACCUACCUAUAAGACUGGGAUAACUUCGGGAAACCGGAGCUAAUACCGGAUAAAAUGUUGAACCGCAUGGUUCAACAGUGAAAGACGGUCUUGCUGUCACUUAUAGAUGGAUCCGCGCCGCAUUAGCUAGUUGGUAAGGUAACGGCUUACCAAGGCAACGAUGCGUAGCCGACCUGAGAGGGUGAUCGGCCACACUGGAACUGAGACACGGUCCAGACUCCUACGGGAGGCAGCAGUAGGGAAUCUUCCGCAAUGGGCGAAAGCCUGACGGAGCAACGCCGCGUGAGUGAAGAAGGUCUUCGGAUCGUAAAACUCUGUUAUUAGGGAAGAACAAAUGUGUAAGUAACUAUGCACGUCUUGACGGUACCUAAUCAGAAAGCCACGGCUAACUACGUG
rnacentral:rRNA from 1 species